CCCCCCCCGCCUCUAGCUUGUGCUGGAAGAGAAGCCGCCAGGAUGACCAAAGCACCUUUCUCUGUAGAGUGGCUUUCCCAGAGCAGCCAGGCCACCUCCGAGCGGCCGCAAAGGGCAGAAGGCGCUCGAGGCAGCUCGCGUGGGUUCUUCUCCCCGCUCGGAAACCCAGCCUGCAGCUCCAGCCCAGCCCCCCAACCGCUCCAACCCGCCGGGCGUGCAAGCCAAAGAGGGCAGAGGGGUGAAGCUAUAAAGAGCCUAGACAACGGCCCUAAGGGUGAGACGCUUUUGGACCCGUCCUCAGUCAGAGCAGCGCCAGCCGCAGCCCAGCGGGCGUGGAGCGCCGCGGAGUCCGGGUCCGAGUGGGAGAGCGGCCGCUCCGAGUGCCAGUCCCCCGAGGCGCCCAGCGGCAAGGGCAGCCGGCGCCUGCGCACCGCCUUCAGCGUGGAGCAGAUCAGCACCCUGGAGAGCUCCUUCAAGCGCCACAAGUACCUGGGCUCGGCCGAGCGCCGCAAGCUGGCCGCCAAGAUGCAGCUGUCCGAAGUGCAGAUCAAGACCUGGUUCCAGAACCGGCGCAUGAAGCUGAAGUGGCAGCUGCAGGAGAUGAGGCUGGAGCCCUUCUACAGCCCCGUGCCCUUGGGAGCCCGGCCACGGGCCCCUGCCCCUGCACUACCUCUGCCCGCAGCUCCUGGCUCACCUCCCGGGGCAGGAGGAGGCCCCUGCCAGCUUCACCUUCCCAGCACUGCCCGCCAGCGCCUGCAGGAGGGAGCCAGGAGGCUAUUGGCAGGCGCCCUGCUUUGUGGGCUACACAAACCCCAGGACUUUCCUGCUGCCCAUUUGAACCCGCGGGGCUAGUCUGUGACUCAAGGAUUUGCACUAACGCUGGCACUCAGGGGCGGGGCCGCCGAGGCCUGUAACUGCUGCUGUGUUUUGUCAUGCAAUCCCCUAAUGCACAGCGAGACUGUUGUAGAGACACAUGGGGCAUGGGGGACCGAGUAUUCAUAUGUUCUGGAGCAGUCCAAUAAAAACAAACACUGACCAGCUCUCACUUUUUACUUUCUCGCAUCAGUCCUGGGGAGCCCUUACUUGCCACAACCAGGAACACAGCCUACCUCCAUCCCUCCUUCCUGAACUAACCUGACCCACACCCUUCUCUUCCAUAGGCCCAGGAUAGGCUCCUAUAGAUUUGCAGUUCAAGCUUGUGUGGCUCUGCUUGGAGAAUACAUUUUAAGGAACAUUCUUUUGGAAAGGGGUUGAGAGUUUUAAAAAUAAGAACCAGGAGUAACAAUAUCCUGCCAGCAGAGUGUUGCCUGCAAUGUGCACAUGGUGGGUAAAAUCCUGUGCUCAUGGCAAAUGUCCCAUUGACUUUGAUGGACUUGGUUUUCAAACUGUUGAGAUUUAGUGCUGCUGCCUGACCCUUAUUACAGGGGCUCCCUGCUCUGCUUAAGACUUAUGGACACCCCAUCCUGAUCCAAUUUAAAUUGGAGGAGUGAAAUUCUGGCUCUAUUGAAGUCAAUGGCAAAACUCCUGAGUGACUUCAGUGGGGCCAAGAUUUCACCAUAGAAGGCUUGAUACAGAGUCAAACAGGAGACCCUGUUGUCUUCAGCUACUCCCUGGGUGGCUCUGCUUCUAUUUUAUUUAAUCUGACAGCACUGAUAUAUACUGACACCAAGAGAAAAUGAUUUUUUUUUCAGAUUUAUUUAUGCAUCUACAACAAGGCAUUACUAUUUGGAAAUCAGUUAACAUAGAAAAGUAAUUAAGAGAGCCAUGCAAAACAAGGCCCUACAAUACUUAUUCACAUCAGUAAGAUUACAUGUAUUUUUGUGCUUGCUAGCCAAUUACUGGAAAUACCUUUUAAAAGACCUACAAAUAGGCAUUUUUUAAAGUAGAGAAUUGUAACACCUCUUCCCCUGAAAACACCUCCCCCCAACCCUUUUUAGAUUACUUUACAACCAAGUACCAUGAAAGGUCAGGCUUAUGAUUGUUUUUGUUUUAAUAAAUUAACAUGAAAGAAUCCCUACCUCAAGUAUCUGUAAAUGUCAAUGCUAAAAAUACUGGUGCUCUUAAAUGGUGGGAAGCUUUCUGAAAAAUAACACCAUACUCAUCUGAAUUCAUCCCACUCAGACUAAUCCAGAUGUACUUUUCUAUUUCCUGGAGUCAUUGAUCCAGUCUUGCAACUUCUUUGUUAGCUUACACUCACACUCCCAUCAUUCCAGGGUCCCACUCUAAUAUCUGGAACCUUCACAGUAUCACUCCAGUGUAAAGUUGCCUACAAUAAAAUCCAAAGAUAAAGCUAGUCUGGCUCAUAUUUU